rnacentral:lncRNA from 1 species
CUGAGGAGGAGUUAUGAUGUAACAAUAAAAGAGUUAGACACAUGCUUGAAUGUUUUGUUAGGUGUUGCUAUGCAACUCUGCAGACAUUUCUUAAAACUGCCUUCUUCCUUUUGAUGGUGUUGGAUCUGCAUUUUUUUUCUUGUCUUCACAGCAUCUUUCAAGGUGUCCCCAGCUCAUAUCAGGGAUCCCUAACCUCCGGAAAACUGGUCUGAGAGCUGCAGACAGGAAAAAAACGCAUGUCCUAAUCAGGGGACCCAACUCCUGGGAUGUGGACCUUUACCGAAAGCCGCUUGACAUCGAACUGCAGACAGAGGAAAAAUGCAUACGCUAUCUUUGAUUUUUUUUUCUGAUUCUGCAAGAAAAGUUUUUUUUUUUUUUUAAACUACUAGACUCUGUUCAUCACAUAUGCCUGUUUUGCCGAGUCGCGUUGCAUUAAACAGCUGCUCGCUUGUACCGCUAGCUAAGCUAAAAGCACAAAGCUAAGCAAGACAAAUAAAAAGGCGUAUUUGUAAAGUUUCUUUGGAGAGACAAGAGCCAGUGGGGAACACUUUGACUUCAGAAGAACAUAAAACUGCUAGCUGUUAAUAGAUGAAACCAGGAGUCUUUCUGGUCUUUAUGGAUUUAUGGAGACAGCACAAAGCUUCUCUGCAUAACAAAUAUGCAGCGGCACAUAUGCCCACAAUAUUAUAGUUACAGACACAAUGGAUUCAUGUUUAAUAUUAUAUUUCGAAAAUACCAGUUUUACAACGGUUUGGCAUUUUUUUUUUGCUUUAUUCAUUCAUCACAUGUUAAGUCGGACACGGCUUAAGUUAGCGUCAAGCUACUAGCAUGCACUUUGACCUUAAAGGGAAAAUCCUCAUCAAAAAGUCUACGUUAAAAGCAGCUGCAAACAUUUCAGAGAGAAUGAAGAUUCAACCAAAUAAAGUUGCCGACCUGCUGAAGAUGUUUCUGAACUCAUGAAACUUCUAAAAAUUCCCACAGAAAGGCAGGAUUAAGCAGGAAUCUGACUUACAUGCAUUUUUUUCCCUUAGUCUGCGGUCUGGUACCAAGUGGCUGUCGGACUAGUACGGGUCCGGGUCUAAGGGGUUGGGGACCCCUAAUUUAAUGGUAAAAGCCAGCAUGUCAAAAAACGACAAGCAGGGUACACCCAAGACGUCAAAAAUUGAAGAAAGAAACAUUUAUGCAGCUAAGACUAAUCAUUUUUUUUAACAAUUGUAAAAAGGAACAAGCUAAUUAAUUAUGAUGCAACAAAAACACAAAACCUUAAUUUCAUAAUUUAGCAAAUUCAAAGAAAAUAACCCAACAGAAUGAAAUUAGCUAAAUUCUUCUUAAAUGCAUUCACUUUACUCCUAAUAAAACAGAGCUAACAAAUUUCAUUUUCUGACCAAAAACUAACCCCUCUGGCUAUUUUAAUAAUACUAAUAUAUGCGCCUAAAGUUUGUAUUUUCGAAAGUUG